UGAGGGAAUAUUGGGUCAAUGGGGCGGAAGCCUGAACCAGCCAAGUAGCGUGAGGGAUGACUGCCCUAUGGGUUGUAAACCUCUUUUAUAAGGGAAUAAAAUACGGGACGUGUCCUGUUUUGCAUGUACCUUAUGAAUAAGGACCGGCUAAUUCCGUGCCAGCAGCCGCGGUAAUACGGAAGGUCCGGGCGUUAUCCGGAUUUAUUGGGUUUAAAGGGAGCGUAGGCCGGAGAUUAAGCGUGUUGUGAAAUGUAGUGGCUCAACCUCUGCACUGCAGCGCGAACUGGUCUUCUUGAGUACGCACAACGUGGGCGGAAUUCGUGGUGUAGCGGUGAAAUGCGUAGAUAUUCGGAGGAACACCAGUGGCGAAGGCGGCUUGCUGGGCUCUAACUGA
rnacentral:rRNA from 1 species